rnacentral:rRNA from 1 species
AGAGUUUGAUCAUGGCUCAGGACGAACGCUGGCGGCGUGCCUAAUACAUGCAAGUCGAGCGAGCUUGCCUAGAUGAUUUUAGUGCUUGCACUAAAUGAAACUAGAUACAAGCGAGCGGCGGACGGGUGAGUAACACGUGGGUAACCUGCCCAAGAGACUGGGAUAACACCUGGAAACAGAUGCUAAUACCGGAUAACAACACUAGACGCAUGUCUAGAGUUUGAAAGAUGGUUCUGCUAUCACUCUUGGAUGGACCUGCGGUGCAUUAGCUAGUUGGUAAGGUAACGGCUUACCAAGGCAAUGAUGCAUAGCCGAGUUGAGAGACUGAUCGGCCACAUUGGGACUGAGACACGGCCCAAACUCCUACGGGAGGCAGCAGUAGGGAAUCUUCCACAAUGGACGAAAGUCUGAUGGAGCAACGCCGCGUGAGUGAAGAAGGGUUUCGGCUCGUAAAGCUCUGUUGGUAGUGAAGAAAGAUAGAGGUAGUAACUGGCCUUUAUUUGACGGUAAUUACUUAGAAAGUCACGGCUAACUACGUGCCAGCAGCCGCGGUAAUACGUAGGUGGCAAGCGUUGUCCGGAUUUAUUGGGCGUAAAGCGAGUGCAGGCGGUUCAAUAAGUCUGAUGUGAAAGCCUUCGGCUCAACCGGAGAAUUGCAUCAGAAACUGUUGAACUUGAGCGCAGAAGAGGAGAGUGGAACUCCAUGUGUAGCGGUGGAAUGCGUAGAUAUAUGGAAGAACACCAGUGGCGAAGGCGGCUCUCUGGUCUGCAACUGACGCUGAGGCUCGAAAGCAUGGGUAGCGAACAGGAUUAGAUACCCUGGUAGUCCAUGCCGUAAACGAUGAGUGCUAAGUGUUGGGAGGUUUCCGCCUCUCAGUGCUGCAGC